GUCAGAAUGGCCGAGUGGUCUAAGGGGCCACACUCAAGGUGAUUUAAUAUUCUCAGUUAAUGAGAAUUCUGGUCUCCAGCUGGAGGCGUGGGUUCAAAACCCAUUUUUGACA
rfam:Danio rerio chromosome 20, GRCz11 reference primary assembly.